UAACAAAGACUUCCAGGCUCACACCAAAUCAUUGCAUGCUUACAAGCCCCAUCAGCUUGGUACUGAUCUCUCCUUCCUGCUCAGGAAAUAAACUGGAGGAAAGAAUAACAUUGAAAAUGCAUGCUGUGGGACGGCAGAAAGGAUACAGGAUAUACUCGAUGCUCUUAACUAAAAGCCCUCCAGCAAGAAUGACCCAACCCCACAGAGUACAAUGCCACCAGACUAAUCUUCCUACAUUCCUACCAGCACUAAGUCAACCAUGGAAAUGUAAGCAGGCUCUCAGAACUCAGCCAUCUUCGGGCCUCCCACAUAUGCGUCUAUGUUUCCUGAACUUUCAUGUUCAACCAGCAAAGUCAAGUAAUACUAGUAUUAAGCAGUAAAACUGAAGCAUUUCUUUCUCAUGACAGACUUUAUUAGCAGAAAACUGAAGCCUGAGGAAGUGGUCAAGGAGGCAGGAUUAGAAGGUACAGAGAAUCUCAAAAUCAGACCUUCUCACCUGAGCAUGAGGAGAGGGUUGCAAAAAUGAAUCUUCUACUAUUUAUGCAUGGUGUCGCAUUGGUUACUUAAAAUAUUUGCUCAUACAAGUUGUACAGCUGAUUAAUAUAGAUUUACAAAGUUUAUUGUAUUAGUUAAAAACUUGGGCAGCAAGCAACAGCAGAAGCCAGCAUAAAUGAAGCCAAACUCUAAUUUGACAGAAAAGAAUACUCUUCCCAUUGUUGCCCAUUGUUGUUAACUGAGAAGGUUUAUCACAAAUACUGAUGGGAUAUUAGUUGAUCCUGUGGUUCAGUAAAUAUAGUACAUUUCCUCCUCACCACAAAAAGAUAUCUGUGGAGUUAAUAAAAAACAAAAGCAAAAACUAGGACUAGAAAUCACUUGGAUUUUACAAGCCAAUAACAUCUAUACCUAAAAAGUACAAUUUUGAAUUUAUAAAAGAGAAUUGCAAAGAAUAUGCUAAGAUUAAGAAAGGAGAAAGAAAAUUACAGGGACAAAUGAUGAUUUUUUUUUUUUUUCAAAACAGCUUGCCCUUAAUGCCUCAUGUCUCAACUACAAAAAAGGAGAACAUGAGAGGUAACCUUAGUAACAGCAAAACUAAGGUAGAAAAAAGUGAGGAGGCUUUUCCUCCUCCAUGAAUUGUUCUUUGUUCAGGUGCUACUGCAUAUUCAGCAUGAAAGUUAAUUAACACACAGCACACUGCUGCCUGGAAAGCCUGACAUAAUU
rnacentral:lncRNA from 1 species